CCUACGGGGGGCAGCAGUGAGGAAUAUUGGUCAAUGGACGAGAGUCUGAACCAGCCAAGUAGCGUGAAGGAUGACUGCCCUAUGGGUUGUAAACUUCUUUUAUAAAGGAAUAAAACGAGGCACGUGUGCCUUUUUGCAUGUACUUUAUGAAUAAGGAUCGGCUAACUGCGUGCCAGCAGCCGCGGUAAUACGGAGGAUCCGAGCGUUAUCCGGAUUGAUUGGGUUUAAAGGGAGCGUAGAUGGGUUGUUAAGUCAGUUGUGAAAGUUUGCGGCUCAACCGUAAAAUUGCAAUUGAUACUGGCAGUCUUGAGUACAGUUGAGGUAAGCGGAAUUCGUGGGGUAGCGGUGAAAUGCUUAGAUAUCACGAAGAACCCCGAUUGCGAAGGCAGCUUACUAAACUGUGACUGACAUUGAUGCUCGAAAGUGUGGGUAUCAAACAGGAUUAGAUACCCCUGUAGUC
rnacentral:rRNA from 1 species